rnacentral:ncRNA from 21 species
GCAACUUGCAGUUGUUUUAAUAAAAUUGGUUCCUUAGGUUAUUUGCCCCACGUUUAUUGUGGGGCUUUUUCUUGCGCAUUUU